rnacentral:rRNA from 1 species
CCUACGGGAGGCAGCAGUGAGGAAUAUUUGUCAAUGGACGAGAGUCUGAACCAGCCAAGUAGCGUGAAGGAUGACUGCCCUAUGGGUUGUAAACUUCUUUUAUAUGGGAAUAAAAUGUUCCACGUGUGGGAUUUUGUAUGUACCAUAUGAAUAAGGAUCGGCUAACUCCGUGCCAGCAGCCGCGGUAAUACGGAGGAUCCGGGCGUUAUCCGGAUUUAUUGGGUUUAAAGGGGGCGUAGGUGGAUUGUUAAGUCAGUUGUGAAAGUUUGCGGCUCAACCGUAAAAUUGCAGUUGAAACUGGCAGUCGUGAGUACAGUAGAGGUGGGCGGAAUGCGUGGUGUAGCGGUGAAAUGCUUAGAUAUCACGAAGAACUCCGAUGGCGAAGGCAGCUCACUGGACUGCAACUGACACUGAGGCUCGAAAGUGUGGGUAUCAAACAGGAUUAGAUACCCGAGUAGUC